GAUGAACGCUAGCGGCAGGCCUAAUACAUGCAAGUCGAACGGUAAGGCCCUUUCGGGGGUACACGAGUGGCGGACGGGUGCGUAACGCGUAUGCAACAUACCUUCAAGCGGGGGAUAUGCCAGGGAAACUUGGUGCAACACCCCAUAGCAUUUCGGGACCGCAUGGUCUUGGGAUUAAAAUAUUUUAUAGCUUGGAGAUUGGCAUGCGUGACAUUAGCUAGUUGGCGGGGUAACGGCCCACCAAGGCGACGAUGUCUAGCUGGUCUGAGAGGAUGAUCAGCCACACUGGGACUGAGACACGGCCCAGACUCCUACGGGAGGCAGCAGUAGGGAAUAUUGGACAAUGGGGGGAACCCUGAUCCAGCCAUGCCGCGUGAGGGAAGAAGGUCCUCUGGAUUGUAAACCUCUUUUGGCGGGGACAAACCUGCACUAUACGUGCAGCUGAGGGUACCCGCAGAAUAAGCACCGGCUAACUCCGUGCCAGCAGCCGCGGUAAU
rnacentral:rRNA from 1 species